rnacentral:rRNA from 1 species
GACGAACGCUGGCGGCGUGCUUAACACAUGCAAGUCGAACGGAAAGGCCUGCUUUCCCUUGUGGUUUGCGGGUACUCGAGUGGCGAACGGGGGAGUAACACGUGAGUGAUCUGUUCCCAACUGGGGUAGAAGCCAGGGAAACUGGGUUAAAUCCUCCAUAGUACUGCAGGGAGGAGCCGGUGGUGGAAAACGAUGUUCUUGUGGGUGGGGAUGCGCUCGCGGCCUAUCAGCUUGUUGGGGGGGUAAUGGCCUACCAAGGCGGCGACGGGUAGCCGGCCUGAGAGGGUGGACGGCCACAUUGGGACUGAGAUACGGCCCAGACUCCUACGGGAGGCAGCAGUGGGGAAUAUUGCACAAUGGGCGGAAGCCUGAUGCAGCGACGCCGCGUGGGGGAUGACGGCCUUCGGGUUGUAAACUCCUUUCGACCGCGAGGAAGCCACCUGGUUGGAAGGGUGGUGACGGUAGUGGUAGAAGAAGCACCGGCUAACUACGUG